CAGCAGCCGCGGUAAUACGAAGGGGGCUAGCGUUGUUCGGAAUCACUGGGCGUAAAGAGCACGUAGGCGGAUCUUUAAGUCAGAGGUGAAAUCCCGAGGCUCAACCUCGGAACUGCCUUUGAUACUGGGGAUCUCGAGUCCGGGAGAGGUGAGUGGAACUGCGAGUGUAGAGGUGAAAUUCGUAGAUAUUCGCAAGAACACCAGUGGCGAAGGCGGCUCACUGGCCCGGAACUGACGCUGAGGUGCGAAAGCGUGGGGAGCAAACAGGAUUAGAUACCCGCGUAGUCCCUGUCUCUUAUAC
rnacentral:rRNA from 1 species